rnacentral:rRNA from 1 species
UGGGGAAUUUUGCUCAAUGGGCGCAAGCCUGAAGCAGCGAUGCCGCGUGAGGGACGAAGGUCUUCGGAUUGUAAACCUCUUUUGCAGGGGAAAAAUGGACGGGUGAAUAACCCGUUUUGAUGGUACUCUGCGAAUAAGCCACGGCUAACUUCGUGCCAGCAGCCGCGGUAAGACGAAGGUGGCGAGCGUUACUCGGAUUUACUAGGCGUAAAGCGUGGGCAGGCGGUUCGUAAAGUCUGUUGUGAAAGCUCCCGGCUCAACUGGGAGAGGCCAAUGGAUACUCACGGACUUGAAUCGAGGAGGGGUCACUGGAAUUCCUGGUGUAGCGGUGAAAUGCGUAGAUAUCAGGAGGAACACCAAUGGCGAAGGCAGGUGACUGGACUCGUAUUGACGCUCAUCCACGAAAGCUGGGGGAUCAAACAGG